GCUCAUAUAGUGUUCAUAUUGUUUUUUACGGUCAAUAAGGCUUCCAAAUACUAGCAACAAUUUAUAGAACAAAUAAUAUUCAUCGAUUCCUUUCGGGUCAUGAAGGCAGCAUAUAGUCUCAAAAUUGAGGCUCAUAUUUAUAUUCAUUGAUUCCUUUCGGGUCAUUCAGGCAUCAAUCCAUCCCUUAUAUUAUGAAUAAAUGAAAUUCAAUUCACAUCGAUAUCGCAUCAAAGGCAUCAGACAACUUUUACAUUAUGAGUAAAGUGUUCAUAAUGUUUUUUACGGUCAAUAAGGCUUCCAAAUACUAGCAACAGUUUAUAGAACAAAUAAUAUUCAUC
rnacentral:lncRNA from 1 species